GAUGUGGCCACACCCAAGUGUGAGUGCCUGCUAGUGUCCAAUCUCAGAAGCUAAGCAGGGUUUUGCCUGGUUAGUACUUGGAUGGGAGACCAACUUGAAAGACCAGGGACUGCUAACU
rnacentral:rRNA from 12 species